CAUUAGCACGUCUGGGUGUGGGAGUUGAUUGACUAUGAACUAUUAUAAUGCAUCAGAAUGUUUAUUGGGAUGCUGAGCAGGUGUAAAAAUAAAUAAAUAAAGACAAACCAACAAAUUAGCAGAGGUAUUCAGAAUUAAGCUCCACUUUCCCACUGUUUGCAUUGCAGUUCACAGUGUACUGUAAUAUAAAUCAAAGGUCCCCAACUCAGUAAUGGGAAUUAAUUUGAAAGGUACCGUUCACAGUAUUAAUUAUGUGGUGCACCGCUUAUGUGAAAGCAGGAAACAAGUCACACAGCAUCACUUGAGUAGAACCGCUAUCGGAUUCAACCUGUUGCUAGGAGGGAAACUAAAGGCUUUUGCCGCUGCUGCGGUGUUCAAGUGGUGUCGGACAUUACAGUGUUAAAAACCACGUCAAAGAAAACACACGCAACAUACAGUCUCUAGCUCGAAAAAUAAAUAAAAUUAUAAAAUAGCUAAGCCUCUGUUAUUUUCUGAGAUAAUGUGCACAUACAAUAGUUCUUUUUUUUAUUUUUUAAAUUUAUUUUUUAAAGUUGUUUUACGUCCGUACGAUACCAUUUUCCAUCUGGCAACACAGUGUAGCAGCAGCAUUUCUUCACCAGACCCUCUUUAGUCAAACCUGCUGUGCAAAGUUCCGCUCUCCGUCUCUCUCUCUCUCUCUCCCGUUUCCGCGCGGACGCCGAGGCCGCUCGCAGCAGCGCCGUAGCCAUGGAGACGCGCAAUUACCCGCGAUGCCAACAAUUCACGCUGAAUAAUUUUACCAGCGACCGGACGGGCGCGCGGGGCUGCGGGAACCUCCCCCUCGGCCGCUGUUACCCGCGUCUCCUCCCUCACCUACUGUAGCUCGCCCCGGUUCAGCGCUCAUCCGCCACGUGUUCCAUUCAUGUGCGUGUUUACCGGAGUAAAUAUAGCACACGCGCAGCAGGUUGCCGCACGCGGGCCCGCUGUCAGCCUUAGAUGUAUCAGGGCACCGCAGCUCGCGAACAUUGCGCCUUUCAUCGACCCGGCAGUGAAACCGCUAUUACUCGCAGGGUUUUCUCCACUUCAGUCUUAACGCAAACAGGACAAGGGGACAGUCAGGGUCCAAGUCACAGCGACGCCCCUGUUGCCUUUCCGUGCAGACGACACAGAUUUCCAACAUUAUUGUGCCAGAUCCACUCAGAAGCUUUUCCCUGAGCCCGCAAUCUCCUUUCCCUUUUGAACAUUAAGAUUUAAAGUCCGACCCGCGGCUUCAUGCUGCCAGUGUUUAGCUGCACUACAAAAGCGCUGUUUGUCAAAGCUAUUUGGGUGUUAUUGUUCCCUAACUCCUCCUCUUCCUUCACAUAUCCCUUUUUCAUGCAAUGUUAAGCAACAAAAAGUCGCACAGCUGGGAGAGGGAAUCUGUCAACACAAAGUCCAAACUACUGUAUACUAACUGUGUGAAUCUCCUGGUUUUUAGCAGACUUGAGAGCACUAAUCCAAAUCUGGCAGCCUGUUCACUUGCCAACAUUAACAUCACACUAAGGAUGAGUCAGAUAUAAAAUAAAUAUGCAUCUAUUUUUACCUCA
ensembl:lncRNA